AAAAUGGUGUUUUGAUGGUCAAAGUGACUUUAUAUCGCCUGUUACUGCACUUUGAAUGGCUUCUGUCACAGGCAUGAAAGGAUUUAAAUAUUUCGGCUUAACUCAACCUUUCCCAUUUCUCCUUCAGAAUUUAAAGCUGUCUGACAACGCUUCCCUUCAGUUGUCAGCACAAGACUGUAAAUUGUGAAAUACUGUCAUGCCCAUGUUCAAUAAUAGUGACUGCACAGCUCCAUAAAUUACAGUAUCUGCUUUUAAUUUGAAAUAUGUGGUAGAUACAGAAAUGCAUGUAUCAGUGCUGCAGCACGCUGCCUAUGUGAACACUGAUGUGAGCUGCAGCAGUUCAGUGAGGUAGCCGUCACACGCUGCUCACGCAUGCGGUGUGGUCCAAGCGUCUUAAUGAAAACUCAAACUGUCACUUACUACAGCCUGUUCAGACACGUAGGAUAAAUUAUUAAGUCUUAAUUAAAAGUGUGGCUCUUACAUCUUUAAAGCUGCACUCUUUGAAAUCCCUGUGUUAAUAUGAAAGUGAUAAACAGUCCCAGUCCCAGUAGAAACUCUGUCCCAGUUCUGUCUUAAUGGUUUGCAAAGCAAAGAGCUGCAUUCACAUCCGAUGUAUCGGUUCAACUUGUUUUAUCCUGUUACUGAAAAUCAGACAAUAUCGACUUAAUAUUAUAAGAUUGCAUCUGACCUUUUUGUCAAAAUUGAAAUAUUCAUAAAUUCUUACUCUGUGACAACUAAUUCACAUUUGAGGUGGGUUUUUUUUUGUUUUGUUUUUUUUAAAACUUUAUUAAAAGGGUUCAUAUCAUUUUUGCUAUAUGAAAUGCAAAAACUUUGCAGCUAGGUAUCUCAGAAUCCCUCAGAGUGCAGACAGAAGCUUGUAAUUCUAAGGCAGCGAAAUGAUUCCUGGCACACUUUUUACACAUUUCUGUUUUCUCUGAAUGUUGCAGGCAGAGCCUCCUGAAGCUGCUCAGCGUGAGGCUGACAGUCACGCUGCGGGCUGACUGAAGGAGCCAGUGCAGCAGCUGGCCUGCAGGGGGCGCAAACACCUGAGAAGAAGUGAGAGUGGCUCAGCGUGUUCGGUGUCAUCUACCAGUCUGGAUGAGUCAUCGGUACCCGUACGGUUCAGCCACGUCUGCUCAGCCUGGUUGAGGCUGUAAAUAAUAUAUUUUUUAAUACAUUUGCUGGAAAAAACAGAAGCACCGAGCAGUCAAAUUUUCAUGCUGGUUUUCCUCCAUUUUCCUGAGAUAAGAAUUUUCUUGAUAAGAAAACUUUUCCCCCAAGAUGACAAUAUAAUUUCAGUUAUCAAGAUAAUGACAUGAUUAAUUUGAGAUCUCUAAAUAAUAAAUGAAAAUGUUAGUCCGGAGGUUUCAGUCACGAUAUGUCAUGCCAUGCUGACCGAUAGAUGUCCUGGCCAAUAAUUCAAAUGAGCUUUUUUGUGCUUUUUCUGCUUUCUAGUCUAAAAUAUAUUUUAAAUGAAUGAAAGUCAGAACAGGAACUUUAACGUUACCUCUGGACCGCAUGAUCUGAAUCAGUCUGAUCCUCACUCAAUUUGUUAGACCUAGACACAAAUUGUCGCCUCCCCCAUGUGAUGCGCUGAUGUUCUGCUGCUCCUCUGAUGUUGCUGCCAAUUUUGCUGCCAAAAUUAUCCUAUUUUCUCAGUAGAAAAAAAUGUAAAAGUGAUUGGCCGUCCGUAGUAUAAUGUCCUGAAGGCAUCACCUACAUUUAGCAUUUAAAGCAAAUAAUUUUACUCAUCAGGAUAUAAAAUCUGUCUUUGAAUUAAAUGCAUGCUAAAUUGUGUUAAGAUGUUUAAAUAAAGGUUGAGCUUGCGUUAUCACAA